GUUAUAGGGACAAGCGAAUAAGUGCACAUGGUGGAUGCCUUGGCGAUUACAGGCGACGAAGGACGUAGUAGCUUGCGAUAAGCUGCGGGGAGCUAGCAAACAAGCUUUGAUCCGCAGAUUUCCGAAUGGGGAAACCCGGCCUUUACAGGUCAUUGCAUACUGAAUACAUAGGUAUGCAAAGCGAACGCGGCGAACUGAAACAUCUAAGUAGCUGCAGGAAAAUAAAUCAACCGAGAUUCCCAAAGUAGUGGCGAGCGAAAUGGGAUGAGCCUGCACGUUUUAGCAUGACGCAUAGUAGAACGGAUUGGAAACUCCGGCCAUAGAGGGUGAUAGCCCCUUAUACGAAAUGCGAUGUGUGGAACUAAGCGUGCGACAAGUAGGGCGGGACACGAGAAAUCCUGUCUGAAUAUGGGGGGACCAUCCUCCAAGGCUAAAUACUCGUAAUCGACCGAUAGUGAACCAGUACCGUGAGGGAAAGGCGAAAAGAACCCCGGAAGGGGAGUGAAAUAGAUCCUGAAACCGUGUGCAUACAAACAGUAGGAGCGGACUUGUUCCGUGACUGCGUACCUUUUGUAUAAUGGGUCAGCGACUUACAUUCAGUGGCAAGGUUAACCGUAUAGGGAAGCCGUAGAGAAAUCGAGUCCGAACAGGGCGACAGUCGCUGGGUGUAGACCCGAAACCAAGUGAUCUACUCAUGGCCAGGAUGAAGGUGCGGUAACACGCCCUGGAGGUCCGAACCCACUAAUGUUGAAAAAUUAGGGGAUGAGCUGUGGGUAGGGGUGAAAGGCUAAACAAACUUGGAAAUAGCUGGUUCUCUCCGAAAACUAUUUAGGUAGUGCCUCAAGUAUCACCAUCGGGGGUAGAGCACUGUUAUGGCUAGGGGUUCAUUGCGAAUUACCAAACCAUUGCAAACUCCGAAUACCGAUGAGUGCGAGCUUGGGAGACAGACGUCGGGUGCUAACGUCCGGCGUCAAGAGGGAAACAACCCAGACCGCCAGCUAAGGUCCCAAAGAUUGGCUAAGUGGAAAACGAAGUGGGAAGGCUAAAACAGUCAGGAUGUUGGCUUAGAAGCAGCCAUCAUUUAAAGAAAGCGUAAUAGCUCACUGAUCGAGUCGUCCUGCGCGGAAGAUGUAACGGGGCUAAGCCAGUCACCGAAGCUGCGGAUAU
rnacentral:rRNA from 1 species